rnacentral:rRNA from 1 species
GAUGAACGCUAGCGGCAGGCUUAACACAUGCAAGUCGAGGGGUAGGGUAGCAAUACCUGAGACCGGCGCACGGGUGCGUAACGCGUAUGCAAUCUACCUUGUACAGGGGAAUAGCCCAGAGAAAUUUGGAUUAAUGCCCCAUAGUAUAUAACCUUCGCAUGUUGGUUAUAUUAAAGUUCCAACGGUACAAGAUGAGCAUGCGUCCCAUUAGUUAGUUGGUAAGGUAACGGCUUACCAAGACGAUGAUGGGUAGGGGUCCUGAGAGGGAGAUCCCCCACACUGGUACUGAGACACGGACCAGACUCCUACGGGAGGCAGCAGUGAGGAAUAUUGGUCAAUGGUCGCAAGACUGAACCAGCCAUGCCGCGUGCAGGAAGACGGUCCUAUGGAUUGUAAACUGCUUUUAUACAGGAAGAAACCCUCCACGUGUGGGAGCUUGACGGUACUGUAGGAAUAAGGAUCGGCUAACUCCGUG